GCAGUAUUACAGUGAGGUACAUAAAAUUACCACAGUAUUAUGCCAAAGUCUUAGGCACCCUAGCAAUAUACAUGUGACUAAGCCUUCCACACAGUACUGUAUCAGAAAUGGCUCUCAAGUUUUGGGUCUGAUCAUAGACCUCUGUUUACAGAUAGUGCCACUUGGCAAAAGGGGCUGGUUGGUAGAGGUCAUUAUUUACCGAUGACUCAUUCACUGGAGUAUACUCAGUGAUUCAGAACUUAGCAUCUGACCUUGCACUCAAGCACAUUGACCUUGGCAGCGGUAACCCUGGCGACAGAGAGGAGGUAACCACAGAUUUUCCCAUCUCCCGUUGAUUAGCUCCACUCCAGUGGGGAUAUUGUGGAGGGAAGGGAGUACUGUGAGGGGCACCUUGGGGCAAGGUCUUGUUUGACCCACUGGUAGACCUGUUUUCAUGACCCAAUGGCUGCAAUUUCUCUCAACGUGGUAGAUUAAGAAAAUCCAAGAUGGUGGACAACUGGUUGACAUCCACGCACAUUCGGGGACAGGCCGAACAACGCCAUCGUGCCUCAGAUCGUAUAAGCCUGUGUUUACCUGGGCGGCUGCGUACCUUGACGCGACCUGCCGUCCCUCACCCACACAACAGCGACCGCGGCAGACCUGCUGAAUAUGGAAGCGAAGUUGUCGUGGGAGGUUUAUAAGGGUCAAAGUUCAGAGUGGUGCCGCCGUUUCCUGUAGUGUGGAGAGUUCAGGCAACAGAGAAAUUCUGUACCAUGCCGUUCCUGAAUUGCACAGUGAGGCACCCAGGAACAGUUACCGCCAUCGGGUGAUUAAAUCCCUGGAGCUCUUCACAAAUAAAUUC